rnacentral:lncRNA from 7 species
UGCUAUGUGCAGGGCCACCAACCACUAGACCAGGACUGCUCCAAAACACAGUGUAAAAAUAAUAUGAGACAUACCCCCGUUUUUUUUAGAGAAAUAUUGUCAUUAACUGCUGUCAGAAGGAUCACAAUCUUCCUCAUUCCCAAACCGAUUGUGAUAUAGUUCUCUCUCCACAUUACAAGCAAUACGAUUGUUGAAGCAAGAAGUGACUCCAGGGCUUUGUGUUCACACUGAGUCCAGGUCCCAGCCUCUCGCUACCUUAGGGUCACCCCAUUCCCAUCACCCUAUCUCUUUCACCCUGCAAGUGUGCACCCAGGGGCUCAUGUUUCGAGGACAGCAUUGAACACUUCCACAGGCAGAUCCUCCCCUCACGGCGUAAAAAUGUGACCGGGUAGUUGAGAUCAAUACCUUGUCACUAAAUUCUGCUGCCGCUGCUUUAUUCUGAAGUGAAUUGAGUUUUCCAUGUUAUUUGUUGUGCUCUUUCUCUUUUCUUAAAGUAGGAUUUGUAGCUCAUUCUGUCACCUUUCAUGCACGAGUUUCUUCUUGCUGACACAGCAGCCAUUAGGUGCAGUUUAGCUCUUCUAACUCUGUAUAUCACUUCAUUACAAGAGACUUCUUAGAAAUUGACCUUAGCACUCUGCAUAAAAACUGAACCUGGCCUUUGAUUUCUGGAAGGUGUUGGGCUAUGGGAUGUCAGAGAAUCACAGCAAUGAGCUGCUACGUGAUCUGCAGCUGGCUUUGCUGGGUGCCUUAAGCAAUAUUGGCUCUGUUUUCUCAUUUCCCGCUUGGACCCACUUUCAGUAGUGCAUUUCUCAGACACUGGAGCACGUUGCUAGAGUGUAAACACUAAUAUCAAAAUCAGCUGCUCCUCCAUCUGUAACUAGCAUUUAAACUUCCUGUGCUUUAUACACAGGAAGAAGAAACAUCAACAGAUUAGAGGGGCAUCAUUAGCAGUGCACUGCUUAUAAGAUCCUCUUGCCCAUUCCAGCUUGAGGACAACACUGUUCCUGUGGAAGUUCACUUCCUACACUCAUGGCUUUUGAAGGUGUCAGCCCCCCAAUUUAUCAUUUCAAGUUUGGUCACUUUAAAUUGGCACACACUGUGCUGAGAAUUGAUACUCAGGAAAAAAUAAAAAUCCCUGUGGCUUCAAAAGUACGUGACACUGCGUGACACUCAGUUUAGCUGUGAGUACACAAGUGAGCCUUUUCUGUGGCUAUCACUGCACACUGCAUGUGCAGAGGGACAGAGAAGUCAUGGGCAUGGCCCAGGCAGCUCCUAGUCCUAACAGGUUGCUUUCAGACAGAAACCAAGUUAUCAGCCCUGUGCUCCUCCAUGCAUUAUCUGCAAGCAGGGUGUACCAGUCCUUUGCUUUUCUUGCUUUAAAAAGAAAGUUAAAAUUUUUCAUAUUCAUGAAGCAUCAGGUUUUAUGCUGAGGAAAGUCAUAGAAGUAGGUAGAGAGCUAAUAUCUAGAGGCUCUCUCUAUACAAAACUGCAUGAUGAGAAACAGCAAACGCUACCCAGGACAAAAUACUGCCCAUUUUGACAGAAAAGAAUUUGAAAAAUGAAGUUAUACAGAAUAUUUUAAAUUUCAUUUUUUGUUUUACAUGUCUGUGGUAGGAAGAGAGAGUUUAUUUUUCUACUUACAAAAUCUAAGUGCAUUAAAACAUUAUGAGAAGAUCUUUCAUUGUUUCCCAUAUAAACUAUUUUAAUAAUUUCAUGUGCAUGAAUUUUAUAAAAUCGGAUAAUAUCCUACUGAAGCGCUCACUUAAAAAUUAUUGUAUUUGUUAGUAUUUUUCAAUUUAAUAAAAUAGAGGAGGGUCUUCCAAAUUUGGUACUGAAGUAUCUAAAACUUUUGCCCAAAAACUUGGAGAAAACAAAACAAAAAUAUCUCCUUGAAGGGUGCAUUCAGCUAUGCUUAUGCUUCUAUUUAUCUACUGUAAAAAGCAAAAGGAUGCAAACACAGAAGCAUAUGUACUUGGCUGUAAGCUGUAAUUCAGAGACCCCCAUCUACCAGGUUGAGCUGCAAGUACCUGAGCUGCUUAUUUGAACAGCAGUAAGGUAAAUACAAAAGCAAUAAGAUAAAAUACUGUUAGCUUUCCCCCGCUUUCACCCCAUCUUUUAUUGAACUGUACUUUUCAUUUUCUAUUAAGGUCAACCGGACAGGCUUUUUGAAUCCCCUCUUCCCAAGCAGCUGAUGGGGGACUGCUGCCAGCCUUCCCAUUAGAAGUUACAGAAAAGGAAUUCUUGGAUUCUCCCUCACACGCUGCUCUGCAGCAGAAGAUGGAACAAGAGGACAAAGGAGACUCUUCAGACACAGGGGCAGGAUGAGAGUGGUCCUGCAGAGGAUCAGCAACCAUCCAGCCAGGCAAUGGAGCCUGAAACUGGUGGGGUGCUGGGGAACAAGCAGCAGUCCUGAUGGCCUGAGGGCCCCUGAACACUGCCUGCCUGCGCUGCCAAGGCUGUGACACAGAGCACAUAGCACAGCCAUCUUACGGCCUGCUUCCCCAGUGAGGGAGAGAGCAGGAGGGAGACGGAUCUAAGCUGAUGGGAAAAGGAAGCAGAAAGAAGUGGCAAGAAUGAGCUAUUCCUGGGUUUCUUAAGAGCCAUUUGAUUAUGCAUUUAACUAUGUGUCCAUAAACAUUAUUUUACAAGAGCUUUUAGGAUGCGAAGUCUUUAUGCAUGAAAUGGGAACAGCUACAAGGAAAUGCUGAUAGUUCAAUAUGUCAGCCAAUACAUUGACUUCUAUGGGCCAUAACCUGAGCUACUUCAAAGCCUUCACUGUCUUGACUGGUGCCACAGAGGAAUUCUCUACGUGUGUGUGUACCAAGUAAUAGGGAAAAAAAUAAAUAAAU